AGAAAAGAGUCUUCCCAACAGUAACACCCUGCACUCUUUCUUAUAGGAAGUAAUGGCAAAAAAAAUAGCAGCUCUCCUGCUUUGGACCUGCUCUCCCAAUGACAUGGAUAGCAUGAGUGGCCAGCGAGGUGUUCAGUGCUCUUCUCAAGUCCUUUCCAAGCUGAGUUAACCCUUUUCCAGCCCUCACCAGGCACAACCUAUUCAUACUGUGCAUUUCCCUCUUGAAGUGAGCGACCCAAGAAUAGGCCCUUGCCUGAUGUCUUUGUGGAGGCCAUCUCACUUCUGGAACAAAGCUUGGCACCUACUAUUUGCAGAACAAGCUGAGGUCAUGGGAUGGAUAGAAGGAACAGUCUGGGAAAUAGUUUCCCCAGUGGCAGAGGCCCUGCUCCAUUAACACCAUGUUCUCUAGGGUUUCCAGGCUUCCAGGAAUUGGGAGCAGGAAGAGGAGACAGGAUGCCCAGUGUACUCCUCUCCACUCUGAAGAGCCCUUACUAUGCAUGGUGCCACCAUUUUACCCUUGGAGGAACUAAAACAGAGAGGCCAUACUGUCUGGGUGAGGCUCCACACCCUGCCACAGGGUCAGAGAAGCUCACUCUAAAUUCACUCUGA
rnacentral:lncRNA from 1 species